UUAACACAUGCAAGUCGAACGGUGAACACGGAGCUUGCUCUGUGGGAUCAGUGGCGAACGGGUGAGUAACACGUGAGCAACCUGCCCCUGACUCUGGGAUAAGCGCUGGAAACGGCGUCUAAUACUGGAUAUGUGACGUGAUCGCAUGGUCUGCGUCUGGAAAGAAUUUCGGUUGGGGAUGGGCUCGCGGCCUAUCAGCUUGUUGGUGAGGUAAUGGCUCACCAAGGCGUCGACGGGUAGCCGGCCUGAGAGGGUGACCGGCCACACUGGGACUGAGACACGGCCCAGACUCCUACGGGAGGCAGCAGUGGGGAAUAUUGCACAAUGGGCGCAAGCCUGAUGCAGCAACGCCGCGUGAGGGACGACGGCCUUCGGGUUGUAAACCUCUUUUAGCAGGGAAGAAGCGAAAGUGACGGUACCUGCAGAAAAAGCGCCGGCUAACUACGUGCCAGCAGCCGCGGUAAUACGUAGGGCGCAAGCGUUAUCCGGAAUUAUUGGGCGUAAAGAGCUCGUAGGCGGUUUGUCGCGUCUGCUGUGAAAUCCGGAGGCUCAACCUCCGGCCUGCAGUGGGUACGGGCAGACUAGAGUGCGGUAGGGGAGAUUGGAAUUCCUGGUGUAGCGGUGGAAUGCGCAGAUAUCAGGAGGAACACCGAUGGCGAAGGCAGAUCUCUGGGCCGUAACUGACGCUGAGGAGCGAAAGGGUGGGGAGCAAACAGGCUUAGAUACCCUGGUAGUCCACCCCGUAAACGUUGGGAACUAGUUGUGGGGUCCAUUCCACGGAUUCCGUGACGCAGCUAACGCAUUAAGU
rnacentral:rRNA from 1 species